AUGGCUGCCAAGGAGAGCUGGAAUGGGAGCGCCGCUUGUGGGGAGCUGACCAAGUGUGGUGUCGGCCGCCCUGCCUGCCAACAGACAGCAACACUGGUUUUCCACUGCCGGCCAUUCAUUGGACUUGGACAGCUUUGUUCCUUCUCUGGGACCAAGUCAACAAGCUGGGACCAGAGGAGCUGCGGCUGUAGCACGCAGGGACCGAACAAAAGAGCAAAUAUACAGAUAUCCCUGGAAGCCAGAGUUCUUGGAAGGAAGAAAUACACAUACAGAAUGGGAGAAGGCAAGGAAAAACCCUGCCUUCCUUCAUCCCCUCAACCCUCAGCUUUGUGGCCUCUAUCUUGGACUGUCAAAGGCCAGUUUAAACAAUGGUCACACAGAGAUUCACACUUCUCGCAAGCCCCAACUCAAUCUCCUGCCAUGUUUUUCAGGAAAGCGUUAACCCAGUUGUCCUGAGUUGCUCCAACUUUGCAGUUCUCAAGAAAGCCCUAUUCUGUGGUGAGGCCUUAAACAGUUCUUGGGAAUUGAGAUCUUGGAAUGUUCUAACUUCUAGGAAUGCUUUAAACACUUGGGACCUUGAGCCAUAUUAUGCCAGGCUUUCUAAAUAGUUUGUAUGAGGAAUGUGAUUUAUGAACAAACUCAUUUCCUUUGGGGACCUGGAUCUUCAGCAACUGUAGUCAGUCCUACGGAUACUAUAUCCCUAUGUAACCAACCCACAAUGAAAAUUGUGAACUUAUAGGCUUAGACAAGUCUCUGUAAUAGACAAAACUUUACAUGCACCUUCACAAUUUAUUCUUGGAAGAAUUAAGUGCAUCUUAUGUGUAUUAAGUGUAUUUUCUAGUGACUCCACUAGAAGAAUAUUCUUAGAAGCUUGUGCCUGAUUUUCUCCAAACGUUACCCAUACACCUUUUCUCUUCACUGAUUUUUCUUGGGACCCUUUACUAUAAUAAACCACAAUCAUGAGUAUAAUGA